GUCCGACUACAAUCAUAUAGAUUUAGGAUCUAGUCUCUUUUCGAAUCUCCAAUGGGACAAUCACUAAUGUAUGCCGAUUAACGGUGUGUUAUAAUCAAGAACUAGUUUUUCUUUCGAACAAAAUUGACCGCUGGUAUAUACUAUUGAGAGCAUGUUUUUUCAUAUGAUAUUAGAGCUAGUUUUUCUUUCGAACCUCCAGU
rnacentral:lncRNA from 1 species